rnacentral:snRNA from 1 species
AUCGCUUCUCGGCCUUUUGGCUAAGAUCAAGUGAAAGAACAAACAUUUUGAAUUUUGGUGGGGUCAUGAGAAUACUGAUAAUUUAUUUUUCUUUCUGUGAGUCAAAAAGAUUAGAUUUUUAAAAUCCA